GUGCUCGCUUCGGCAGCACAUAUACUAAAAUGGGAACGAUACAGAGAAGAUUAGAAUGGCCCCUGCACAAGGAUAGCGCACAAAUUCAUGAAAUGUUCCAUAUUUUU
ensembl:snRNA U6 U6 spliceosomal RNA